rnacentral:misc_RNA from 1 species
UGGUUCUGGCAUCGAUGAAGAACGCAGCGAAAUGCGAUAAGUAAUGUGAAUUGCAGAAUUCAGUGAAUCAUCGAAUCUUUGAACGCACAUUGCGCCCCCUGGCAUUCCGGGGGGCAUGCCCGUUCGAGCGUCAUAUAACAACACUCACGCCUGGCGUGGUAUUGGGCCUCAGACCUAGGGUCAGGCCCCAAACGAUUCGGCUAGGAGGAAUCAGUAAAUGGGGAGUGCUAGAGCAUGGUGCCGCAAAUAUCGAUACAUAUAUGCGGCGCGGAGUUCGCAGUCCCCUGCCCUACGCGUUCGCAUCGGUGACCCAGACCGAAACACAAGUUUGACCUCGGAUCGGGUAGGAAUACCCGCUGA